UACGAAGGGGGCUAGCGUUGUUCGGAAUCACUGGGCGUAAAGCGCACGUAGGCGGAUCUUUAAGUCAGGGGUGAAAUCCCGAGGCUCAACCUCGGAACUGCCUUUGAUACUGGGGAUCUCGAGUCCGGGAGAGGUGAGUGGAACUGCGAGUGUAGAGGUGAAAUUCGUAGAGUAUUCGCAAGAACACCAGUGGCGAAGGCGGACUCACUGGCCCGGAACGU
rnacentral:rRNA from 1 species